AUGUACAUUUGGUUGGAGAGCCAUUUGAAAGGUUCUGGUGAAGUUCGGUGAAGUUCGGGAGCAUUCGGGCGAUUCGGUGCGUGUAGGCCGGAAACGGGACCCGAAAGGCUAUGUUGGGUCGUGAACUAAAUCUGGCAUUAGUGUGGAUGAAAAUAUGAUGAAAAUACGCUCGAAAAUAUGUUUGGAGAGUCUCGGUUCGAUUUGAAAAGAAUCGGAGGUCAAACGAGCGAAAACGAGCGAAAACGGACCCCGAAAAUGAAAAAGGCUGAAAUUUGGCUACGUCCUAAAAAUGCUGGAAUUCUGGACCUUCAGGGACCGGUCUCUCACUGCCAGGGACCGGUCCCCUAUACAAAAAUUGGCCCCGCGGGGACUGUGUAUUAAAAUGGAAGUUGAGGGGCUUAUUUGCACUUUUGUGCAUUACGUAAGUGUAAAUGAGCUAUAGAGAGCUCAUUUGCUCUCUCCCUCUCAUCUUUUUAACCUAAGAGAACUCUCCCUCUCUCUCUCUAAGCUCUCUUUCUCUCUCCAAAGGGUGGAUCAAGAGAAGGAGUUGGAGAAGAAGCAAGUUUGGAAGUGGGUUUUCAUCUUCCUUACCUUCUUCCUCACCAUUGGAGAAGCUUGUUUGAGGUAAGCUUUACACCCUCUAAUGGUAGCUUCUAGUUUGUGGGUUUUUAAGCUCUAGAAAUGGAAUUUAAUGGUGAUUUAGAGAUUGUUAAUCUCAUUUGUUGCAAGAUCUAUAGCUUGAUGUUGCUCUUUGCAACAAUGAGGAGUUAGAGCUCCAAAUGAGAGCUUUAAUGGUAGAUCUCUAGGGCUUUGGUCUUAUGCUCUAGAAAUGGAUUUAGUAGCCUUCCUAGAUGCUAAUUAGAUGGAUUAUGUUUAGAUCCAAAGUUCUAAUGGUGGGUUUUUGUCUAGUUAAGACCUAGGGCUCCAAAAUGGGGUUUUAGUAAAUCUUAGGUUAUGAUCUAUUUUGAGUGGUCAGAAACCUAAUUGCCAUGUCUCCGAACGCGUAGGAAGCGACGGUUCGUCGAUUCGUCGAGCGGGUGCGACGUUCCGGCUGAAACAAGUGCUAGAAGGUCCGUUUUGGCCCGAGGAGCCGAGGCGACGUGCGAAGACCGCGAAGACAAGCUUUCUAACCUUUCGGCGUUACCAAAAGGUGGGGGAGUGCCAUCCCGAAGCAGUCGGGCUACUCUUUAUGUCUAAGUGCUAAGUUGACCUAAUUGCAUAUUGUGAUAUUGCAUUAUAGGGUGUUAUAUGUAAUUGUUACAUAUUCUUGCAUGCUAAUAGAAUAGUGUAGAGUUGAGUUGCUUAACACCUAAAUCUAGUAUGCAUGAGAUUAACGUCAAAUGACUUGAGACCCUAUAAUGAAGUGAUAGUUGAUAGAAAGUGAACCUGCUUAUGUGAAUGGGAAUCUAGUAUGGUGUAACUCAUGUUUGAGAACAACAAACAUGACGAGUGGCAUCUAGUUAACAUUUAACUUGACGAGUGGCAUCUAGUUAAUGUUGAACUUAGGAGAGAACUAGUUCCCAAGUGAUGUUGUCUAGAGUAGUAGGGUAUCCUCAGUGACGGGGAUUUGACCAU
rnacentral:lncRNA from 1 species